CGAAAAAAAAUUUCAUUUCUUAAGAUGGGAUUACCACUUGCUUAUUUUAGGAACAGUCCCAUUUUUUAUGAUAAAAAAGUAGACAUUUUAACAUGAAAGUAAUAGUGGGUAAAAUAUUCAAUGAUAUAACUUUUUGAGUUAUUAUUUGUUUUAAAAAUUAUUUUUCUUUCUUUUUUUUGACAGGCAGAGUGGACAGUGAGAGAGAGAGAGAGAGAAAGAUCUUCCUUUUCCAUUGGUUCACCCUCCAAUGGCCGCUGCGGCCGGCGCACUGCGCCUGGCGCACCGCGGUGAUCUGAAACCAGGAGCCAGGUGCUUCUCCUGGUCUCCCAUGUGGGUGCAGGGCCCAAGGACUUGGGUCAUCCUCCACUGCACUCCUGGGCCACAGCAGAGAGCUGGACAGGAAGAAGAGUGACCGGGACAGAAUCUGGCACCCCAACUGGGACUAGAACUGGGGGUGCCAGCGCCACAGGCGGAGGAUUAGCCUAUUGAGCCACGGUGCUGGCCAAAAACUAACAGUUGCUCAUUUGUAUCAGUGUGGAAGAGGAGGUGACCCUUUCGGAAGAAUGGUAGUGUUUAUUGAAGAAGCCUGAAAAGCUGCUGUAAUGGUUGGAUCUUCAGUUGCCAUCUUAAUGAAGAGGAAGAAGCUACUGUCUCAGCAGUGAUGGAGCAGAAAGAAGGGUGGUUUUGUUCUUAUUAAUAUCCUGAGGCUACCAAAUCAGCUCUGGACUACCACUCUCUGGCCUUUUAUCAUACAAGAGAAAAAUAAGGUAUUAAUUUUUUUGGUAUAAGCAGCUGAAACUAAUUCUUUUUCAAAUCCUAACCCUUUCUGAUAGCUAUUAGACCAUAUUUCUACCAGAGAAUGACACUUUUUAAAGACAGUAAGAUUCUAAUUGUAAUACUCGUGCAGUUUUCUCAUACAAACUAUACAAUGAAUCAUAUAACUUUGCAAAAGCUUUCAAGGUACCCUAACAAGUUCUCAAUAAACGUCAAUGUUGAAAAAAGAUUUUAAAGGUUUUUCACAAUGAAUCAGUGUUUCCCAGACUAAUGUAACAAGAGCAAUCACUAAGUCAUUAUUUUAAAAAAACAAGGUCUUAAAUUUGGUGCUGAACAAAGUUAAGGCAAUAUAAUCCCUGUUUCCUAAAAAGUAUAAAUUUUGAAAGAUAAUAUGAGGCAUACAGAAAGCAACAUGCAAAUCUCAAUUAUAUAAGCAUUGUUUUGUCCUGCAAACCAUGUAUUUUUAUUGUAUUGAGAAUAAACUUUUGGUACUGAAAGUACAGCUAUGAAGACAGAAUACUUGGCAAGCUCUAACAAUGGGAGGAGAAGGAUUAGUAUUAUUUUCUGUGGCUGAGUCAGCUUAGGUUUCUUAUGAAACUUAAGAGCUUUAUGUGUUUUAUUUGAUUAUUUUAAAUUGACAUAAUACUUUCAGAUAUUUAUUGGGUAAAAUGUAAUAUUUCAGUACACGUAUACAGUGUGUAAUGAUCAAAUCAGGGCAACUAACUUAUCUGUCACCUCAAACAUUUAACUUUCAUUUGUGUUAGGAAUAUUAAAGACUGGCACCAUGGCUCAAUAGGCUAAUCUUCCACCUAGCGGUGCCGGCACACCGGGUUCUAGUCCCGGUCGGGGCGCCGGAUUCUGUCCCGGUUGCCCCUCUUCCAGGCCAGCUCUCUGCUGUGGCCCGGGGAAAGCAGUGGAGGAUGGCCCAAGUGCUUGGGCCCUGCACCCCAUGGAAGACCAGGAGAAGCACCUGGCUCCUGCCAUCGGAUCAGCGUGGUGCGCCGGCUGCAGCGCGCCAGCCAUGGCGGCCACUGGAGGGUGAACCAACGGCAAAAGGAAGACCUUUCUCUCUGUCUCUCUCAGUAUCCACUCUGCCUGUCAAAAAAAAAAAAAAAAAGGAAUAUUCAAGUCCUUUCUUCUGGUUAUUUGGAACAGACAAACAACAAACUUAUUGUCCACUAUAGUAAGCCUUCUAUGCUAUGGAACACGAGAACUUAUUCCUCUUAAGCCACUGUAUUUUUGUCCCUUAUAACCAAUCUCAAUUUCUCCCCUCUCCUUCUCAGCCACUGGUAAGCCCUAUUUUACUCUCUACUUAUAAGAAAAUCAGCUUCUUUAGCUUCUAUAGAUGAGUAAGAAUUUGAAGCAUUUGUUUUUCUGUGCCUGGCUUAAUUCACUUAAGAAAACAUUCUGAAUUCCACCCAUGUUAAGCAAAUGACAGGAUUUAGUUUUUUAAAUGUCUGAGUGAUGUUUUAGUAUGUGUAUAUACCACAUUUUCUCUAUCCAUUCACCCAUCAGCUGAUCAUCUAUCAACAUCUAAGUUGAUUGCAUACCUUAGCUAUUGUGUAGUACUAUAAUAAACAUGGGAAGCCAGGUAUCUCUUUGAUAUUCUGCUUUCAUUUCCUCUGAAUAUAUAUCCCCUUGUGGAAUAGCUGGAUCAUAUAGUUGUUCUAUUUUCAAUUUUAGUUUGAGGACCCUUGUUUGUUUUCCAUAGUUACUGCACUUACAAUCUUACCACCAGUAUCUAAUAGUUCCCUUUUGUUGCACCCUUGCCAACAUUUGUUAUUUUUUUUUUCAUCUUUUUGAUUAUUGCUAUUCUAAUUGGGGUGAGUAGCUCAUUGUGUUCUGACAUGUAUUUCCCUGUGGUUACUGGUGUUGAGAUAUUUUAAUAUAGCAUUUGGUCAUUUAUGUUUCUUCUUUUGAGAAAUGUUUACUUAAAUCAUUUGUACUUUUUUUGACUGGAUUUUUUUUUUAUUGUUGAGUUGUCAGUAUCUUGUUGGAUGAAUAGUUUGCAAAUAUUUUCUGUUAUUCUGUAAGUUGUCUCUUCACUCUGCUCUUUCUUUGGCUGUGUAGAAGCUUCUUAGUUUGACAUAAUCCUGUUUGUCUAUAUUCGCUUUUAUUUUGUAUGCAUUUGGGCUUUUAUUUUAAAAAGUCAUUGCCUAUACUGAUGUUUUGCAGUAUUUCCUUUAUAUUUUCUUCUAGUAGUUUCAUAGUUUCAGGUCUCAGAUUCCUUGUGAGUUGAUUUUGUAUAUGAUCAGGGAUAGGAAUCUAGUUUCAGUAUUCGUUGUAGCAAUGUCUAAUUUUCAAAGCUUUAUGUCAUUCAGAGGGGCUAAACACUGGUACAGGGCAGCAUUUUACUUAUCAAAACAUUUGAGGACACAGUGUUGUUGAUUGUGUGUGUGUGUGUGUGUGUGUGUGUGAGAAUAAUGGCUUUUUAACAGUGUUCGAUUAGGAGACAUUAGGAACUGUGCCUUGGAAGCUAUUAGCAAUUUUAUCUAAUGGAUUUUAUAAUACAUCAUAAAACAAUCAGCAAGUGAAGACAUCCCAAAUGCUUAACAUGCCAAUUUGCCUCAGACACUGGCCAUAUGAGGUGCUUUCAGGAACUAGCAAUGAGAAUCAUGGAUAAUAAAUGAUAAAAGACUGAAGGAUACUGACAGUCAAAAGAGAUGAUGCCAGAAACCUCAUUUAGCCAAAAAACUUCAGCAAAUUGGCAUUUUACUUUGAAGUGAAAUUUGUUUUAUAUUUCCAAAGAAACUUAACUUUUAGCUUCUGAAUGAGCUCUAGUAAUAUGGGAGGGGGGUGGUCUGACUGAUGGUUUUUCUUAGCACUCUCAAAUUAUUAACUUGGGGUUGACCUUGAGGUGCAGCAUGUAAGCCACUGCCUGCAGUGCAGACAUCCUUUAUCAGAGCACAGGUUCAAGUUGAGGCUGCUCUGCUUCUGAUCUAGCUUCCUACUAAUGUGCCUGGGAAGGCAGUAGAAGAUGGUUCAAGUACUUGGCCCCUGUCAUCCACAUGGGAGGACCAGAUAGAGUUCCUGGCUCUUGGGUUUCAGCCUGGCCCAGCCCCAACCCCAGCUGCUGCGGCCACUGGGGAACUGAACCAACAGACGGAAGAUCUUUCACUCGGUCUCUCCCUCUUUGUCAGUCACUCUGUCUUUCAAAUAAAUAAAUAAGUCUGAAAAAAAUAAUUAGGUCAAAUUUAAAAACAAACUCUAUCACUUUUCUCCAUUAGAAUAAGAUCUAUUAUAAUAAUAUAAAUUCAUCUGAACAGGUGAUUUAAAGAUUUGUUUCUUUUUAUAAUCAAUAUUGAAAUCAAAUCAAGUCAAGCCAUCUGCUUCAGUGUUUUUUUUUUUUUUUUUUCUGGUCAGGAUUAACAAAAUAAUAGAAUAAUGGACACUCUAAAUACAUUAGUAUAAGAUCUGUAAGUAUGGGCCUAUGUAUUUUUUAUGACAAUCGAGGAAAACUAAAAACAACUGUGCUUUAUACUUGCUUUUUGUUCAAAUCCUUAAAAUUUAAAUAAAUAGUAGCAAAUUCACUAAUGAGAUUGAUGUAACAAUUAUACCACACCUGGAAAACAACAGAUACUCAAUAAAUGACAGCUGUUAA